rnacentral:tRNA from 1 species
UAGGAGGUUUUUUGAAGGAGCUGUAAACUCUUUAUUUUUUAUCUCUACAC